rnacentral:rRNA from 1 species
GACGAACGCUGGCGGCGUGCUUAACACAUGCAAGUCGAACGGUAAGGCCUUUGGGUACACGAGUGGCGAACGGGUGAGUAACACGUGGGUGAUCUGCCCCCUACUCUGGGAUAAGCCUGGGAAACUGGGUCUAAUACUGGAUAUGACCUUUGCCUGCAUGGGCUUGGGUGGAAAGUUUUUCGGUAGGGGAUGAGCCCGCGGCCUAUCAGCUUGUUGGUGGGGUAAUGGCCUACCAAGGCGACGACGGGUAGCCGGCCUGAGAGGGCGACCGGCCACACUGGGACUGAGACACGGCCCAGACUCCUACGGGAGGCAGCAGUGGGGAAUAUUGCACAAUGGGCGGAAGCCUGAUGCAGCGACGCCGCGUGGGGGAUGACGGCCUUCGGGUUGUAAACCCCUUUCAGUAGGGACGAAGCGUGAGUGACGGUACCUAUAGAAGAAGCACCGGCCAACUACGUGCCAGCCGCCGCGGUAACAC